rnacentral:rRNA from 1 species
GACGAACGCUGGCGGCGUGCUUAACACAUGCAAGUCGAACGGAAAGGCCCUGCUUGCAGGGUACUCGAGUGGCGAACGGGUGAGUAACACGUGGGUGAUCUGCCCUGCACUUCGGGAUAAGCCUGGGAAACUGGGUCUAAUACCGGAUAGGAGCCAUUUUUAGUGUGAUGGUUGGAAAGUUUUUUCGGUGUAGGAUGAGCUCGCGGCCUAUCAGCUUGUUGGUGGGGUAAUGGCCUACCAAGGCGGCGACGGGUAGCCGGCCUGAGAGGGUGGACGGCCACAUUGGGACUGAGAUACGGCCCAGACUCCGAAGGGAGGCAGCAGUGGGGAAUAUUGCACAAGGGGCGCAAGCGUGAUGCAGCGACGCCGCGUGGGGGAUGACGGCCUUCGGGUUGUAAACGCCUUUCGAUAGGGACGAAGCUUUUUGUGACGGUACCUAGAUAAGAAGCACCGGCUAACUACGUG